AUGCGUCCCCGCCGCAGCCCCUCCGCCGGACGCAGUUCACCGGAGUCCAGCAACGCGUCACAAUCAAGUGGCAGUCAAUCUAGUGGUGGGAUGAAAAAUCCGGAUGGUUCGAUUCCUAUCCCCUUCACCAUCCAUCGAGGUAAUCCAGACCGGCUAACCGGAUUGGGCUCUUCGUAUUUGGAGAUGCCUUCCGGUCAGGAGAAUAUCAAUCUGACUAAAGAGGAUUAUCCAAAGCUUGUCCUCGUUAUAAAAGAUGACGACGAGAACCAACAAAUGUGUCUAAAGAUUAUGAAAAGCUUGACUCAUGAGAAUGUCCUUGGAGUGCAUUUCUGGGAAAAGGUUGAAGAAGGACCAUAUAUCCGAGUUCAUGUGGAGCCUUACACAGCAUCGAUUUCAACGAUCAUUAGCGAAGCUGAAUCUCUUGUCGAUCGUAGGUCAAAAUUGGUUCCAUCUCCGGCCUUUGAAGAGAUAGUGAGUGCAUCAAUUGAUGGCCUAGACUACAUUAGAGAGAGUGGUUACUACCAUGGUAACUUCUCAUGGGAAACUACUCUGUACCAUCAGGAAGCUGAUAAAAUAGUAGUCAAAUUGGCGAACUUCGAAAUAAAAGGUCCUUCUCUGGUGGAAUGCCAGGUGGAAGACUGUAUCUCUCUGGCAGCCUCUCUUGAGUGGGCAUCUCAAAAGGUGAAGAAGGAGUAUCCCAAUGUCAAGCCACACACUUGCUACAUAAUAGAUGACCUCAUAAGGAUUUUGAAGUCUUUUACUAUGAAUUCUGUUCACACAAUGAAACUUCAGCUCAAAGAUCAUGAAUUUUUUUGGAACAGCAAGAGGAAGAAGAUUUUCUUUGCCUAUGAUGUACCGCAAGUCUUCAAAAAUGAUCUAGUUAAGCAAAAAUUUGCGGAAUCUCCAUCUAUGCCAGAUUUGCCAUGGACGGCAACAUGGCCAACUCAUGAGUUGAUACCUGGUCAGCUUAUGAAACAUAUGUUGAUUUACCGUGGAAAUAAUGGACUUGGAUCAUAUAACGCAUCCGAUGUGGAAGAGUUUCUAAGGUUCAUAAGUGGGAUGUAUUCGCAUGAGAAUGAACUCAAGGAGAAGAUUCCUAACCUCAAUGUCAAUAAGGAAGUUCAGAGGAUAUAUCCGUGUUUGUGGUAUGAUUUAAAAAAAGCCAUACGAGAUGCCGAGGAACAAGCUGAUAAUGCCAUGGCAGUGGACAAUUAA
rnacentral:rRNA from 1 species